CUUCUAUUCAGGUUACUGACAGUAAUGUGAUCUCAUUUCAUGUUUUUACAGAUCCAAGCACAAUUAGGUUUCAGUCUUGCCUGGUGCCUUUGGACACCACAGAACACGUAACACACAGUGACAUCCAGGACACAGCUUUUCAAGGUCAAAAAGCUGCUAAAACUCAUCCAGCUGUUCUCCUUUUCAAAACAUUCUAGGAGAAGGGAGGGAGCAAAGAAAGGAUCAUAUAGUGAAUGAAUAAACCAAGAGAAAAUUCAGACUGUCCAUUGCACAAGGAAGUGAAGUACAGGAUAUUCACGUGGAAAAUGAGAAAGAGGCUGAACCUUAAAAGUUUGAGCUCUGCUAAGUCCAGCAAGGCAAGUCUGCCACGUGAUACAAGCAAGAUGCUCCCAAAGACAGGACUCACUUAAGUCUGUGGUGGUGACAGACAUCAUACACUUUUUAUAUUGAGCAUAUAUGUUAAGUUAUUGCUUUGUAGAAUAGGUGGAUACACCUCCCAGAAUCAAAAGGCUUGCAUAUAUUCAGGCAUGUAAGGCUUUCAUAUCUAAUCCAAAACUAUAAGGUUGUAAAUAAAUGCUAAAGACUGUAUUUAUGGAACUGUUGAAAAAUCAGCCUUGGCUUGACAGUUAAAUCAUUUGGCACAAUCAUUUUUCUUGUGAUUCUGCUUAAGACCACAAGAAGCACAGUGGCCACAGCAGAUAUCCAAGCACCUUCAGAGCAUCUGAUUGUUUGUGUCAUGGUGAGUGAAAUGGAAAAUUGCUACUGCAAAACUAGAGAUCUAUAAUUCUGUGUAGAUGUUAAGAUUGACUAAUGAAAGGGAUGACAGGUCACAAGUAGCUUCUACUGUUGGUUAAAUGACACCCAAAAUAGGCCAGGUAUGUCAGAGGGAUGUUAUUCCUGGUUCUAAUGUAAUCCUUGUGGACUUUUUCAUGGAAGUUUAAUUAAUACCCCUGGUAAACACAGGGCCUGGCAAAGGUCAUUUGAAAUAUUUACUUCUGUUAGCAACUAUAUUGCAAGGGAUGCACAUUCCAUACAUUCUUGUCUGAACUAUUUCAGAAAAUGUCAUUUGGGCUUUGGGGAUAGACUGCUGCCUCAUUAAGGUUAGUGAAACAGGGAGGGUUGGUUCUCCUGGACAUUGAAGCAAAACAGUGCAUAUUUUUACCCUUUGGUCCAAAGUAGCAGAUCUUUAAACUAUAAGUUGAACCUACUGUAUUAACAACGAUCUUCCUGAAAUUUGAUUAUUAAACUCUUACAAAAAAAACCCAACAAACCAACCAAGAAAUUAAGACCAGUUCAAUAAACAAGAUCAAAACCUAUUCAAAGUGAUAAAAAUCUACAAAUGUAAUUGAGAAAAGGGUUGCAAAAGAUGGUGCUAUGGUAAUAAACACUUAAGGAUCCAAAUUCAUUUCUGACUGUGACACUUGGGUGACUCACAGCAGCUGUAAUUGAAAGGUUAUGACCUGGCUCCCUGAGAAUAGGUGUAGUUAAUGUGUCUGGAGUCCCACUUCUCAGAGAAUGUAAAUCGACUGGAUUGACAAAUUCAAAUCAGGGAAUACAAUAGCAAUGUAUAUGUCAGGGAAGUCUAUAUGCCCUGCUCUGGAACUCUAUAUGCCCAGAUAGCCAAGUAAUCAAACACAACAGCCUUCUGCCUCAAGACACCUUUUGUUACCUUGGGGAGAUUUGUUCCUCCUGUGCAGAACAUCAUCUCUUGAAACAGCCUGUUUCUAUUCUAUUCCCUGGCACAACAAAGGUUAAAAAGCUUUUUUAAAAAUUUUUAUUUUAUUUUAUUUUCCUUUUGGAGCAUGUCCUUUCAAGAAAUAACUGAGCAUUCAUGAAAGCAACACUUUUCAUUUAAAAUAUAACUCUGGAGAGGGAAAAAAGCAACAAAUUAAAUCCUCCUCUUCUCUAGCAGAGAAGACAGCUUUGGCUUAGUGAACAUCCUUUAUCAUUCAGAUAUGCUGUUGCAGCACUCAGCCAUGCCAAAUAUUUAUUCAAAGGGAAUUCCUUUUGAUUUUCCUUUUAUUCUGUACCUCAUAAAAUGUUCCAACACAGUAAUCAUUAGCUAAACGAUUAUUCAGAUGGAUAUUGCCACCAUUAUCUUAAUUGUACAUCCAACCUUGCUGCAAUCCUUGCAACCACAUUGCUUAUUUCAGAAGCCCAUUUUCAGCUACUGCAUGGAAAUAAAAACUUUUAACCUUGGGAUAGAAACAGCAAAGGAAAAAUCUUAUGUUAAAGAUUUAAAUGGUAUUUGAAAGAGUGAAGAGAAGGGGGAGGAUCAAAUGAUGUGGUUAUUAGAAACCACCUUCAAUUAAUUUUAAUGCUGAAUGAGCAAAUAUGCUAAGAUGCUGAUAGAUAUGCAUCUUACCAAGCUAAAGGUUUAGAGUAUUUUAUUUGAGAUCUUUCCUAACUUGUGUAGGAAAGGAUAUUUCUAUUAUAUACGUAUAUUUUAUAUUUAUUUGGUAUAUAUUUGUGGAAACCAACAAGCUGCUCUGAAAGUUUCACAGACCUCGACUUGGACACAAUCACUUUGUACCCUUGCAAAUUUGGUUUGUACCUGUGAGAAGUUUUAACAUCAACAGAAGCAAGAACCCAAAACAACAGAUGAAGAAUGCACAGCUGCACUGGGGAGGCUGUUAUUUGGUUUAGAUUUAUUUUGGAUGGGUGUUAAUUUCAAGUAACCAGUAGUUUUGUGGGGUGUUAACAUAGAAGCCAAUGGGGACACAGCACAGGUACCAAGAAACUGUAUAAAAGAAGCUUUGUAGAAUUAAAGAUGCUUUUUGCCACUGCCUGGAGUUGUCGGUGUAUAUAUGUGUCGUGACCUGCCUUGACAGUGACAUAUAUUGGGUAUUAAUUGGGUAUUUAUUUAUUGGGUAUCGCUGAUGGUUUUAAAUAUAUAUUUUAUGACAGGAUCAUCUAUUAAAAAGGAUAUAUUCCUUCUGAAAACAUUUUAGUUGUGAGUUAAUAGCAUAUAUUUGAUGCCAUGAAGAUUUUUGCCUUUUCUUUUAUACCCCUGUUAUACCUUUUACAACUUCUGUAUUCCUAGUGCUUUUUGCCUACAUUCUUGGACUUGUUUGUCAAGCUAAGAGACUAAACAUUUUGG
rnacentral:lncRNA from 13 species